rnacentral:rRNA from 1 species
CCUACGGGGGGCUGCGGUGGGGAAUAUUGGACAAUGGGCGAAAGCCUGAUCCAGCCAUGCCGCGUGUGUGAAGAAGGCCUUCGGGUUGUAAAGCACUUUCAGUGGGGAAGAAAGCCUUGGGGCUAAUACCCUCGAGGAAGGACAUCACCCACAGAAGAAGCACCGGCUAACUCCGUGCCAGCAGCCGCGGUAAUACGGAGGGUGCGAGCGUUAAUCGGAAUUACUGGGCGUAAAGCGCGCGUAGGCGGUCUGAUAAGCCGGUUGUGAAAGCCCCGGGCUCAACCUGGGAACGGCAUCCGGAACUGUCAGGCUAGAGUGCAGGAGAGGAAGGUAGAAUUCCCGGUGUAGCGGUGAAAUGCGUAGAGAUCGGGAGGAAUACCAGUGGCGAAGGCGGCCUUCUGGACUGACACUGACGCUGAGGUGCGAAAGCGUGGGUAGCAAACAGGAUUAGAUACCCGAGUAGUC